UACGGAGGGGGCUAGCGUUGUUCGGAAUUACUGGGCGUAAAGCGCGCGUAGGCGGACCUGCAAGUCGGGGGUGAAAGCCCGAGGCUCAACCUCGGAACUGCCUUCGAUACUGCGGGUCUCGAGUCCGGGAGAGGUGAGUGGAAUUCCUAGUGUAGAGGUGAAAUUCGUAGAUAUUAGGAAGAACACCAGUGGCGAAGGCGGCUCACUGGACCGGUAUUGACGCUGAUGUGCGAAAGCGUGGGGAGCAAACAGG
rnacentral:rRNA from 1 species